UGUGUGCCAGGCAGGGUGCCGCGUGCUUCAUGAACAUUAACUAAAAUGACCCUUGUAUCUUCUCUAUGAAGCAUGUUCUUCGCUUUAUAACUAAGGUACAGGGAGGCCAGGUGACUUGUCCAAGGUUGUGCAGCUACCCCAUGGCAGAGGCAGGAUUAGAACCCAGGCACUCUGGCUCCAGAGUCCUAGCUUAUAACCACUACCCCACAGUGACUCCUUUAGGCCUUCCCUGGCCCUGUCGCCACCUGUAAUGAUCUUGUCUGUCCUGCCAGCGUGUGGCACAGCAAGAAGUACCUGUGGCAUGAAUUUCUGGGUCAAGUGACUGUGUCCAUCCGGAGACUGGCAGGAAGCUUGGGUGUCACCCAGAGAUAGAGGUUGAGGAAUUGAGGAUUUUCUGGGGAGCAGUGGAGGUGGAGGCCAGGCCAGGAGGUGGGAGAUGAGGGCUGAGGACCCAAGAGCAGGGCAUGCUCAUGCCUACUAGACUGGUGCCAACACCAGCUCCCAGUGUGCUCUCAACAUGGCGCCUGUCCUCCUCUCCCAUCCCCCUCCUCCGUUCUCUCUCCCACCCCCCACAACAGCAGUGCUGACCGACCUCCUCCAUCUGCAAACGUCCCAGGCUGCCUUGGUCUCCUGCCUGGUCUGGCCUGAUGCAUCCCAGAAAGAUCUGAGAGGAGGUGUAGCAUCUGGAGCAACCUGUCCUCUAACCCUGGGCCUGGCUUAGGCUACGUGAUCUUCAAAUAUCAACGUUCACAGAACUUGAGAAGAAGAAAGGAGGGACCACACCCCUGGCAGCUGAGGGACCCCUGGCCCCAGUCUCAGGUUGAGACAUAGAUGUGCCUGGGUGUGGGGCUGGUGUAUCUGAGAAGAAUGGCCGCCUCACAGACACCUGCCGGCCCAGAAAGCAUGGGGGCUGCCGCUGCCUGAUAGAGGAUCCUUCCGUGUGCACUAAGGUUCCUCCCAGUGCGGCGGGGGCCGCUGUCCUGCACAAACAUCUUCAGGCAAACAUUCCAAGAACAGAGUGAUUCUGGACCCCUACCACCCGAGGCCCGGCCCCACCACCCUGGGACGUGCUGGUCCACAUGGUUGACUCACCAGAAGGUGAAGAGAGCCACAACACCCAAGGUCACCAGCAGCUGGAUCAACAG